rnacentral:misc_RNA from 1 species
GGUAUACAACUUCGCCCCUCUCGCGGUUUUGUUUUACUUUUGGCUUAUUCGAAUGUGCUUUUGUUCGUUUGGUUAGUUAUGUCGUGCUGAUAGUUUCUGAAGGAUGAUGGUUCUUUGUGUUUUAAGGCUGUUGGUUAGUUGUCUAUGGAAUAGGAGAUAAGCAUGUACGUGCAGUCAAUGUAUGUCUCGAGUUUACUUCCUAGUUCGAAUCUUAUUGUUCUUGGUAUAUUUUGGGUUUCAUAGCUACAUUCGGUAUAGUUUUUUUUAGAUCAUUCUUUCAUCUUGAUUUAUUUUUAUUCAUUGUGGUUCUUCAAUAUUGUUUGAUAUUCGGCAUCGUAUCG